rnacentral:rRNA from 1 species
AGAGAUUUAUCGUCUUAGGAUGGGACUGCGGGGGAUCAGCCUGUUGGUGAGGUAAUGGCUCACCAAAGCUACGAUCCCUACGGGUUAUGAAAGCAAUAGCCCGGAGAAUGGUACUGAGACAAGGACCAUAGCCCUACGGGGUGCAGCAGGCGCGAAACCUCUACAAUGCGCGCAAGCGUGAUAGGGGAACUCCAAGUGCUUAGCUCUGCUAAGCUUUUCUGAUGUGUAAACAGCAUCGGGAAUAAGGGCUGGGUAAGACCCGUGCCAGCCGCCGCGGUAAUACGGGCAGCUCGAAUGGUGUUCACGUAUAUUGGGCUUAAAGCGUCCGUAGCUGGUUUAGUAAGUUCUCGGUGAAAUCUUAUGGCUUAACCAGGAGAAUUGCCAAGAAUACUGCUAGACUCGGAGUCGGGAUGGGUCGGAGGUAUUCUCUGGGUAGGAGUGAAAUCCUGUGAUCCUUAGAAGACCAACGGUGGCGAAGGCGUCCGACUGGAACGCACUCGACAGUGAGGGACGAAAGCCAGGGGAGCGACGCGGAUUAGAUACCCGCUUAGUCCUGGCCGUAAAUGAUGUCGAUUUAGUGUCGCGUAACUUACGAGGUUAUGCGGUGCAGUAGGGAAACUGUUAAAUUGACCGCCUGGGGAGUACGGCCGCAAGGCUGAAACUUAAAGGAAUUGGCGGGGGAGUACUACAAGGCGUGGAGGCUGCGGUUUAAUUGGAUACAACGCCGCACAUCUCACCAGGGAAGACAGCAGUAUGAUAGUCAGUCUAAUGGGCUUACUUGACGCGCUGAGAAGUGGUGCAUGGCCACCGCCAGCUCGUGCCGUAAGGUGUCCUGUUAAGUCAGGUAACGAGCGAGACCCACAUCUUUAGUUGCUAGUUCUCUUCAUUGAAGGGAGCGCACUCUGAAGAGACUGCCGUGGAUAACACGGAGGAAGGAGUGGGCGACGGUAGGUCAGUAUGCCCUGAAUUUCCUGGGCUACACGCGGCCUACAAUGGUACGGACAAUAGGAAGCCACCCCGAAAGGGGAAGCCAAUCCCUCAAAACGUACCUCAAUUCGGAUCGAGGAUUGGGACUCAUCCUCGUGAAGCUGGAAUGCCUAGUAAUCGCGUGUCAUUAUCGCGCGGUGAAUGUGUCCCUUCUCCUUGCACACACCGCCCGUCAAACCACCUGAGUGAGGUUUAGACGAGGCUUGAUCUUAACUGGUUAAGUCGAAUCUAAGCUUUGUGAGGGGGGUUAAGUCGUAACAAGGUA